GGAGAUAUAGCUCAGUUGGUAGAGUGCUUGCCUCUCAUGCACAAGUCCCUGGGUUCAGUCCCCAGCAUCAACA
rfam:Ictidomys tridecemlineatus contig111633, whole genome shotgun sequence.